GACGAACGCUGGCGGCGUGCCUAACACAUGCAAGUCGAGCGAACAGUUCAGGAGUUUGCUCCCCCGACGUUAUCGGCGGACGGGUGAUUAACACGUGGAUAACCUACCUAUAAGACUGGGAUGACUUCGGCAAACCGGAUCUAAUACCGGAUAAUAUAUUGAACCGCAUUGUUCAAGCGUUAGAGACGGUUUUUCUGUCACUAAUAGAUGGAUCCGCGCCGCAUUAGCUAGUUGGUAAAGUAGCGGCUUACCAAGGCUACGAUGCGUAGCCGACCUGAGAGGGUGAUCGGCCACACUGGAACUGAGACACGGUCCAGACUCCUACGGGAGGCAGCAGUAGGGAAUCUUCCGCAAUGCGCGAAAGCCUGACGGAGCAAAGCCGCGUGAGUGAUGAAGGUCUUCGGAUCGUAGAACUAUGUUAUUAGUAGAGAACAAAUGUGUAAGUAACUGUGAACAUCUUGACGGUACCUGGUCAGAAAGCCCCGGCUAACUACGUG
rnacentral:rRNA from 1 species